rnacentral:rRNA from 1 species
UGCUCUUAUGGGUGGCGAGUGGCGGACGGGUGAGGAAUACAUCGGAAUCUACCUUUUCGUGGGGGAUAACGUAGGGAAACUUACGCUAAUACCGCAUACGACCUUCGGGUGAAAGCAGGGGACCUUCGGGCCUUGCGCGGAUAGAUGAGCCGAUGUCGGAUUAGCUAGUUGGCGGGGUAAAGGCCCACCAAGGCGACGAUCCGUAGCUGGUCUGAGAGGAUGAUCAGCCACACUGGAACUGAGACACGGUCCAGACUCCUACGGGAGGCAGCAGUGGGGAAUAUUGGACAAUGGGCGCAAGCCUGAUCCAGCCAUACCGCGUGGGUGAAGAAGGCCUUCGGGUUGUAAAGCCCUUUUGUUGGGAAAGAAAAGCAGUCGAUUAAUACUCGGUUGUUCUGACGGUACCCAAAGAAUAAGCACCGGCUAACUUCGUGCCAGCAGCCGCGGUAAUACGAAGGGUGCAAGCGUUACUCGGAAUUACUGGGCGUAAAGCGUGCGUAGGUGGUUGUUUAAGUCUGUUGUGAAAGCCCUGGGCUCAACCUGGGAAUUGCAGUGGAUACUGGGCAACUAGAGUGUGGUAGAGGGUAGUGGAAUUCCCGGUGUAGCAGUGAAAUGCGUAGAGAUCGGGAGGAACAUCCAUGGCGAAGGCAGCUACCUGGACCAACACUGACACUGAGGCACGAAAGCGUGGGGAGCAAACAGGAUUAAAUACCCUGGUAGUUCACCCCCCUAAACAAUGCAAAACUGGAUGUUUGGUUGCAAUUU